GCGUUGAUGGUGUAUUGGUUAGCAUUGUUGCCAUCUAAGCAAUAAUCUGGGUUCGAUUCCCGGUCAACGCA
rnacentral:tRNA from 1 species